UCACUAUAUUUUAUCUACAAGGAGGUAGAUUUUUCUGCCUUAGAAUUUUCUUCAGAAGAUGUAAAGCUGGCUGUUAUGCUGAUUUAUUUCAGAUAACAGCCAAAGACGAUGUGUUUGUUUGAGCAACUGCCCCCAGGUCCAGACUACCUCUCAAAUUAAGUGAAACAAUACUUCUUCACAGUGUCCAAAUAAAUUAGCUAUAAGCCGAGCCGUGGUGGCACUGUGAUUAGAAUGCAGUAUUGCAGGCUAAUUCUGCCGAUUGCCAGCAGUUCGAUCCUGACCAGCUCAAGGUUGAUUCAGCCUUCCAUCCUUCCAAGCUCCACAGUGAUAUAAAGAAUAUGCAGAUUCUUUGAUGAAGAUAUUACUCUUGCUUCAACCUUCAAGGUCUUUUAACAACCUGACAAACCUGCUUUGGAAACAUAUGGCUUGUGGAACCAUGCAUCAAUUGAGUGUUGACCAGCUGGGUUUCUGCUCUGUUAACAGAAAAGGCUAAAAGCUAUCCACAGUUAGACCUGUCCUUCCCAGCUGAUGGAUUCCUAGGUGAUGUGGAAAAAGUAUGUUAAUAUACCAAUUAUAAGCAAAUCCUGCAAUGUAAAUUAAAAGAAGACUGAAAUUCAAAAGUUGUUUAUUUGAAAGUUAAAUUCUACAUUAAUGUUUACAGUAGUACUGAUGUUUACAGAUUCCCACAUGUGAGACAAAGAUUGCCUUUGUAUUGCAUUAUUUCCCUCCUAUUUUUUUUUCUGUUGUCACUAUUGUGAAAAAAAAAUGAUAAAAUUUGCAACUUUACUGGGACUCAGAUAGGGUGAUAAAAUACUAGCACUGAAUGAUUUUGCUGUCUUGCAAUUAGCUCAUAUUUAUUUUCUUCUUUUGUUGCUUGCAUCUAUUGCUCAUUUUUAAUGUUUUUUUCCUUGCUUGUCUAUUACUUCAAACUGGCAAAAGGAUAUUUAUAAAUAUAUAAAUUAACUAAAAUUACUAAGACUUAAAGCUGUGUAAAUAUGCACAACUCAAAUUGCUCCAAAGCAAAUUUCUUCAUUAUCAUAUUUAUGGAGACCCAGAAGUAUAACAUCUUGUGUGAUUUAUACUUAACUACUCUUUAUACCUACUCAGAAACAACUUUCCUUGUCUUCAGUGUGGGUUAUUCCAACUUUAUACAUGCAUAGCAAUGUUUUUAAAAUCAGCCACUAGCUAUGCCCUGUGCAAUAUAGUUAAGUGCGUCUUUUUGUAAACAAAAUAUGCUUCUUUAUAUUUAUUCAAAACAAAAUGCAACCAUUUAAAAUGGAAUUUUUAAGGAGAUGGCUUGCAACACAUUAAACUUAGUAUCCAUCUCUUUCUUUCCUCUUUCUCUUAUUCUCUGACCUGGAAAACUAAAUAUCUCUUGGCUGGACAGCUGUACUUAAGAGGAUGUUCAGGAUUGAAGGUCAGGUAAUAUUGAGGAACUAUAUUUCCAGAUAGCCCCUUUGACACCCAAGCAAGAGAAGGCUACCUGAAAGAGGGCUUCUAAGACUGACUGCAAGAUAUGAAUAGGAACAAAAGAGAAAUAAAUAUAAAGAUAUAUAGUACUCAUGAAAGAUAUUUGACUUCAUAAAACUGUUGCUCUUGGCUGCUCUUAGGUUUAUCUAGUUCAGGGGUCCCCCAAAAAACUCAUGGUCCCUUUUAUGACGUUUCAGAUUGUUCAUCAACCUCCAUCGAUUUUAUUACAUGAAAUAAUUAAUCAGUACUACUUUAACUAAUAGUACUCUGAAUAAGGAUAUUAUAGGUAGAUCUCACUUUGCAGUUGGCCUCUUUAGUAACCCUUUGAAGUUAGGACAAUACUGAAAAAUAGCAUUAUGACCAUUCCUUGUAUUUCCAACUGUCCUUGGGUCACAUGAUCCAUAUUUGGGCAUUUUUCAGCCAAUGGGAAUUUACAACUAUUGCAGUCAAAUAACUUCCUGAAAGAGAUAUCUAGGUGGUUCCCUGAUGCUUCAACUUCAUAAGAUAAAUUCUAAGUAUUCCCAUCAACUAAGUUUGUUGGUUCUUGAUGAUUAUCACCUUUGCUCUGGUUAAAUAUUUUAGCCUCCAACUUUAUUUCUAAUGUUCCAGCUAAAUACAUACUUUGAAAUGUAAUUAUGCAUUAGUAAGCUGAAUUAAUAACAUAGACAGUUCUCUUUCUCUAGAACUAUAAGAAUAUGCGAAAGACAUGUCUCCCUUGUGUUUAUAUGCACAAGGUAUACAUAACUGUAACUAACAAUCUCACUGAAUGACAGAUUUAAGCACACAGGCUAUCUAAUUGUAUUAUGACACAUGGCUAAAUAUACAAAAUGAUUUUAUUGAAAAGUGUGUCUAAGAUGCUAAAUAGUUUGACAGUUCAGUUGAUGAUCUUUCAUCUUCAGAUAUGCAAGUCAUUGUCAAUUACAGAUGUUGACUUCAGAUCAAUUUAUCUAGUCUUUGCUUAUAUAAAUGUACAUCUAUUUAUUAUGUAAGAAAGGAUGUGCAAACUGAAUCUGCUGGAGAAACUAAAUUACUUUAAGUAUGGCUUGGAAGCUUAGGUUUGGCAUGCAGAAACCACUGUAGGCUAACCUAUUGACAGUAUGUGGUAUAAAAAGGAAUAAAAUAAAAUAAUUAUAUUCUUAUUGC